rnacentral:pre_miRNA from 1 species
GUUGCAGAGCCAAUUUGGCAUUCUGUCCACCUCCAGUCCAUGGAAUACUUUCUUGGAAACCUGCAUUUCAAAAUCAUUGCCCUUUGGAUUGGAGGUGGCCAGUACGUCAAAUGUGCUCUGUAAA